GCGCAAGCCUGAUCUAGCCAUGCCGCGUGAGUGAUGAAGGCCUUAGGGUCGUAAAGCUCUUUCGCCAGGGAUGAUAAUGACAGUACCUGGUAAGGAAACCCCGGCUAACUCCGUGCCAGCAGCCGCGGUAAUACGCCGCGGUAAUACGGC
rnacentral:rRNA from 1 species